rnacentral:rRNA from 1 species
AUUGAACGCUGGCGGCAUGCCUUACACAUGCAAGUCGAACGGCAGCACGGGAGCAAUCCUGGUGGCGAGUGGCGAACGGGUGAGUAAUAUAUCGGAACGUGCCCAGUCGUGGGGAUAACGUAGCGAAAGCUACGCUAAUACCGCAUACGAUCUAUGGAUGAAAGCGGGGGAUCGCAAGACCUCGCGCGAUUGGAGCGGCCGAUAUCAGAUUAGGUAGUUGGUGAGGUAAAGGCUCACCAAGCCGACGAUCUGUAGCUGGUCUGAGAGGACGACCAGCCACACUGGGACUGAGACACGGCCCAGACUCCUACGGGAGGCAGCAGUGGGGGAAUUUUGGACAAUGGGCGCAAGCCUGAUCCAGCAAUGCCGCGUGCAGGAUGAAGGCCUCGG